rfam:Dipodomys ordii contig_59076, whole genome shotgun sequence.
GGUGGCUCAGUGGUAGAGUACUUGCCUUAUAUGCUUGAGGCCCUGGGUUCGAUUCCUCAGCACCA